rnacentral:rRNA from 1 species
GACGAACGCUGGCGGCGUGCCUAAUACAUGCAAGUCGAGCGGACCUUUAAAAGCUUGCUUUUAAAGGUCAGCGGCGGACGGGUGAGUAACACGUGGGCAACCUGCCUGUAAGACUGGGAUAACUUCGGGAAACCGGAGCUAAUACCGGAUACGUUCUUCUCUCGCAUGAGAGAAGAUGGAAAGAUGGUUUCGGCUAUCACUUACAGAUGGGCCCGCGGCGCAUUAGCUAGUUGGUGGGGUAAUGGCCCACCAAGGCGACGAUGCGUAGCCGACCUGAGAGGGUGAUCGGCCACACUGGGACUGAGACACGGCCCAG